CGCUGCUCGCGAGCGGACGUAGCGGAGCGGAGCGCUGGUGGUGUUGGCCCCUCCUGGUACGCCCUGCGCCUCUCGGUACGCCGCCCGGUACGCCCCCGGUGCUGCGUGUGAUGUGCGACCCUGCGCCCCCUGCCGGCCCCGCCACGCCCCGCCUCGCCCCGCCACGCCCUGCGCCGCCUCGCCCCGCCGCUGCCGCUGUCACCUCCGCCUCGACCGGCGCCGCCGCCACCGCCCGGGAUAGACGCACCGUCCAAAACAAGCACAUCAGGGAGGUGGUGGCCGCGGCCUCCACAUGGAAGCUGGACCCAAAGGACCUUAUUGCUCGGGCUGGCGUUUUGCUGCGGCCGUUCAUAGCGCACGUGGCGAGCCCUCCGGACCGCCGGAGCUUGAGCGGUCAGCCCUUGCCCGUGGCGGGGGUGGCGGGGCUGGCGGUGGCGGGCGCAGGACCAGGGGGCGGCGGGGGCGGCGCGGGGCAAUACGAUGACGACCAGCCCGCCCCCGCGACCCCAGACCAAGCGGGGACGCCACCCCCGGACCGCAACGGCCAGCUUGCACAACAAGGCUCGCUGACCAUCGUUCGAAGAAGUAGCACGAAAAAGGCUGUGAACAACACUCCGGUGGGUCCCACCGUGAUACGUGGGGGCGCCCCUGGCCCACCUGGGGCGCCCCCAGACGACUCAUUGGCUGGAGACCUCGAAUCUUUGGACUUAACUACAGAAUGCUUACCCGCUGUGGACACUCCUGACGCUUGCGACAAGGCUGCAUUUAGGCUUCGCUGCCUUCUACGCCAACUGCAGCUGGGACAGGUCUCCGCAGACCUUCUACAAAGUAAUCUACUCUACGCCGCAAGAGUAUUAGAAGCUGUUUUCAUCGACGAAACUAAGGACCGUGCGGACGAGGGUCCUGGCAGGCCCGGUCAUCUUUCGGAGCGCACCACCAGCGGAGAGUCCAAGCCUGUGCAGAGAAGACGGUUACGGAGACCCGUGUGGGCAAGGUUGUCUAAAGCCCCUAUUUGCUUGCAUACACCCUGAAUCCCAGCAGAUUCACAAUCAAUACCGCUGUGACUAUGGAAGGCGACUAGCUUUUGCUUCUGUUUACAAUUCUGUGCAGUCAAACCUUGCAGAGCCGUGUCUGACGUGACAGUUUCAAGUUGCUUCCUUUCCCCCAUGUUUGUUGUGGGUUUGUUUAUUUACAAUUUAAAUGUAACUAAGUGUGUACAUGUACAAUAUUGUAUUCUUAUCCACUCCUUCAAUCACUUCCAUAGUCUGGCUCUUUCUUGGAAUAAUUCUGCUCGCACUAAACAUUACCAAAUGCGGUCAGCGGGCGCUGUUCACUAGUUUUCACAAUUUAGAUUCCUGUUUGAUUAUCAGCUAUCCAUCAGAGUAUUCAUAAAUUGUCACAAUCAAAAUUCCUUUCAAAUACCUGCUUUACUCGGCUUUUGUAUUUCCUUGUUACCAGCUUCGUCCUGAUCUAAAUUAAUUUACGCUUGUCUUAACUAACUAAUCAAUUGUUUAGGACGAGCGAGGAUGUAGCAGCCUUUUUACGUUCCCAGUAGCGCAGAUAUCAUCCACAAUCGUCCGUAGAUGUUUUUAGCGAAGUUCCAACUCCUAUCCUCUUGCUGCGAUAAUAUAGAUAUUCUGUGUGUUUAAAACUUAAUUAGUGCCCAUUAAACGGUAACUGUGUACUUUGAUAGUUUAAAUAGAUCGGAUUUAAUAAAAAUGAAGGUGUGCGCUCAUAAUUACUAAAGUAGGUUGAACCUCUCCCUGAUUUCUCAAAUUUCCAUGACAACCACUGCCUUUUGCUUGCAUGGUUGUGUGCUUUGUAGGGCUUACUUUCACGUGUUGACCUCACCUGUACUUUUUAUGGAUUCUAUGUGAACACUGACAAAUCAAGUGUUCAAUUUCCUUACACCUGCAUGUGCAAGAUUAAUACUUUAAAGUGUUCUACUGCUAAUGCAUUACUUCUUUGUAAGUUGCAGUAGGGUACAACUAGCCUGCUAAACACCUCCACGCACGGAUUGGACACACUGUGUGUGGCAAAUCUGUGGUUGAACACUUUAAAGCAUUAAUCUUGCAGACGAACAUUUUGUGUUGGCGUUGGACGGUUGAACACUUUGUUUUUAAGUGAAAUUGAGGAUACUUGUAUUUGUCAUCUAAAUUACUUCGCCGAUCCUUUACCUGUUUUUGGGCUGUGAGCACCCACAUUAUUACGUUCUCGGUUUUCUAUUGUUCAAGUAUCCUCGAGCAACCUCGUUCAUCAACUAUCUCGAAAAACAUUCAUAAGCGAACCGGCCGUAUUUACUUCAAACUCUUCUCAUUUUAGCUAUCUAUACUUAAGUCUAUUUUUCUUCUUUGUGUAUUCUUUUUGUGCCUCACCCUUUUGUUACUGCAACUUCCAUUAUUUUCUGCACGAUACCCUUGUUCCUUUCAUUCAAAUAGUUCUCAGGUUCAAAUUACGUUGGCACGAGGUGGCCACGUGAGCUGGUAACUUUAGUACGAAUUUCUUGUAACAACGAAUAUUAUGUGGCAAUUUAUUUGAAUUACGCAAUUGCACUUGCAAUAUUGUCAAGUCACCUAUGGACUUCUACAACAUAUCCAGAAUGUGGCCAUACCUUGUUUACAUGGCUUGAUAAGGUUGAGGCCAUUAACGGUUAACAAUUCUUAGUUUCUGAUGUUGUUUGUCGUAAUGGUGUCGCAUAUACCCCGUCCCGUCCUCUUAUUUACUUAUACUGUACCGCAUGCAGGAGUGCGGGCUGGCUUGCCUCGUCGGUUAGCAUGGCACCUCACGGCGUGGAGCGAGAAGGCAACCAACUAUGGGCCUCAUUGCGGUACAGUGUAUCCAAGAAAGGACGAGCGGGCCUGGGACAUCUUGUACAUGACCAUUAAUUUCCAUAACCUGUCACGUUUCUUUGAACAAAACGGCAUAUGUAAAACACUUCGGAAUCGUUAAAUGUCUCGCCGUAUCAGGGUUUGGGGUUUGCCCCUUGCCAUGGAAAAAGAAAGUCUUAGUUUUAGCGUGGGUAAUGCGCAAAAGCAGGAGCUGCCACUCGCGAAUGUUACUUGUAUCUACACGGUCGGAUAUUCUAACAUUGCAUCAUAUUGGAUAUUUUAUCCGGAAAUAUGAUCCACAUAGGAAUGUGCCGCGUGUCAGAGCCACGACACAAUAGUAUAUUUGGGUUUGCCUACUCGCUCCAUACGUAAGGCGCCAUGGUGGCCCUUCGGUAUGCAAACCCGAAACAGUGUUGUGUCUUAGCCAUGCACUGUAAAAUGCUUGCAAAGAAUAGGUUCGUAUUGCAAACUAUUUUCUUUGCAGCUUGCAAAGAAUUUUCAGGCAUCGUAAUACAAACUAGUUCUUCGCAAGCUUGCAAACUAUUUCUUUGCAAUGCAAACACAUUGUUUGCAAGGAUUCUGCCAGCUUGCAAAGAACUCCUUUGCAAUACGAACUAAUUCUUUGCAAUACAAAGCUCACAAAUUCUUUGCAACGUUGCAAAGAAUAUAGUUUGCAAGCAUUUUACAGUGCGAGAGCGGGAGAGACUCGUUUAGUAGGUUUGUUUGGGAGCCAGUCUGAACAAGAGUUGGAGGGAAGAGGGGUUAAUUUGCUUAUAUACGCAGAACUUUUCGUGUGUCUUUACCUUGCAAUAUACCAGCAAUAAACUGGAGAAAAAUAAAUGGGGAAUGUUUUGGUCGGGUGUGAAGCGCAGUACGCUUUGAAAAUUGAUUGCUAAGCUGCUGGCGCACACAUGUAGCUCUGGCGUGGAGCGCUCCCACCGGACGCGAUCAGGUUGCGCCGUACACCUAUGGAUUUGGCAGCGUUUCGGCCUGAUGGUGCUUUCUAUGUCAAAUGCUAUAAUCCGCCUUGUAAAUAAAUAACAGACAAUCAUGUGGAGAUUGAGUGACGCAAGAGAGUUUAAAAUUCCAACAUCAAAUGGGUUGUUCAAGGGAAGUUAAAAAAAAAAAAAAAAAAAAAAAAAAAAAUUA